rnacentral:rRNA from 1 species
UACAGAGGUCUCAAGCGUUGUUCGGAUUCAUUGGGCGUAAAGCGCGUGUAGGCGGCUUGUUAAGUCGGUUGUGAAAACCCAUGGCUCAACCAUGGAAGUGCGUCCGAAACUGGCAAGCUGGAGUCCCGAAGAGGAUGGCGGAAUUCCCAGUGUAGAGGUGAAAUUCGUAGAUAUUGGGAGGAACAUCGGUGGCGAAGGCGGCCAUCUGGGAGGGUACUGACGCUGAGACGCGAAAGCGUGGGGAGCAAACAGG